rnacentral:lncRNA from 1 species
AUCUCUCUGGUUGAGGCUGCAUUCAUUAUUCAUAUUCAACUUGACACGUGGGAAGGGCUUACUCUACUAGUGGCUCGGCUUGGUCUCGCUCCCUUCCCGCACUAUUCCUCCCCACUAAAAAGAGCGAUUGAGAAUCUCGAGAACCUUUCCGAACGUCUGUCUUCGCGGUGCGAUUGGAAAAGAAAGGAGUAUUUAAUUCUUUUACUGUUUUCCAUUCCACUAUUCUGAUCGAAUUGAUUGCUCUUCCGAACGACCAAGUCAUAAUGAGUUUAAAAACCGAUGCUUCCUUAGCUGUGUGGAACAUGGAUUAGCAUUAUGUCAAUCCUACAAGUGAUGACCCACCCAGGAUUGCUAUGUACAGACUUAGAGAUCAAAUAGGAUAUGUUUCUUUCCAUUCCUCGUGAGCCACUUAUUUCUCCGAAACAAGAGAUUAAAGUCAUCUUCCUCCUUUUUCCAAGGAAGUCGACGACGUUGCACCAUUGAGAUACUUCGAAUAAACUUGAGUACAAAUAGGAUACACCGGUGCUAAAACCUUUUCCCAAGAUAUCUUCCAAAAAGUUGGGGUCGUUGCUCCGGAUCUUGUUCUCCCGGUGUGAAACCAGUUGGUUCCGUAGUUUUAGAAUUCUGCUGAUCACAAGUACUCCAUCUCCAUCAUUGCAUAUAGGAAUAUAGAAAGGAAAGAGGAAAAGGCAUGACCAGAAGAAUGGUGUGAAAUAAGUGAAUUUAUCCAGUUGAGGCAUUCUUGAUUGAUUGAGACAAAACGAUUCCCUCAAUACAACUUAACUCCGUCAAGCCUGUACGAGUAGUGAAGAAGUAUAGAGCACUUUGGUUGGUUGUUGACCAACGGAAAGCAUGGGAGAAAAAAAGAUGGACUAAGACAACAAAAAGGUUCACCCCUCACCUAGUCUCUCCCAUUCCGAAAAUAGGGAGAAAGUCAUGAUAGACGGGGCUAUUUCCCCCUUGAUGCUGUAGUUGAAGUAGCAUUCUCCGAAGAAAUUCUUCAAGUACUGUCUUCAUUGCAGGAUCGCGGGGAUGUGGAUCGCUUAGAUCGGCUCUGUCUAACUGCAAAAUUAUAUACUCUAGUAUUUCUGGCCUUAAGCCUUGUUCCCUAAAAGGGGAUUCGCGUAAAAUUGCAAGAAAUUUGUUGUCCGGUUCCUUGAGAAAGAGAUCAAAAAUUUGAUCCUGAAGAUUCACUUUUAACUCUAAAUCUUUGAUAUCGAACAGCUCAUUAUUUACUACGGAUAGAAAUUAAAUCGGAGUCUGCGUUUCAUUCAACAAGCUUCUCACCAAGGCUUCGUAUCCCCCAGCGUUAAGUUAAGGAGGUAAUUGGUCGAUUAGGCGUGCUUCUAAGAGACGAACUCGCGCAUAGAGGUCCAUCUCCAGACCCUCAAGCUCUGGGAACUGACGACCCCAAAGAAAAUAAGAAUUGGAGAGGGGGGGGGGCACCGGAUUAUCCUGCCUAAUUGAAGUGAAUUUGUAUGGGAUAAUCCUACAAUUAUAGAAGUAGUAGAAUUUGACGAAUUCUUUUCUCCACUUGACGAAGGGGAGUCAAAAAAAUGCGAAAAAAAGAGCAAAAUGUCUAUAUGACCAUGACCCUUUCUUAAUAAGUAAGAAAUUAGCAGCAGAUAGAGUAUCCGUAUUAAAAUAUGUAUUAAAAAUCUUACUACUCGGGAUAGUAAAUAAGAAAGUUUCAUCCAAAAAAGCAUUUGACCUAAAGUUAAAGUACCAUCCCGUAUUAAAAUAGGUAUUAAAAAUCUUACUACUCGGGAUACUAAAUAAGAAAGUUUCAUCCAAAAAAGCAUUUGACCUAAAGUUAAAGUACCAUAUCUUGUAAAACUUCCCUUCCAUAUAGAUCGUCGUGGCAUGAACAAAUUUCUNNNNNNNNNNNNNNNNNNNNNNNNNNNNNNNNNNNNNNNNNNNNNNNNNNNNNNNNNNNNNNNNNNNNNNNNNNNNNNNNNNNNNNNNUAGCGCCCAGAGCAAGCGCCCUUCCCUUCCAUGUAGAUCGUCAUGGCAUGAACUAAUUUCUUCGCUUCGAUUCCGCCCCUAAAGCUAUCUCCUAUUCCUCCUCCUUCUCCGUUAGGAUAAUCUCCUCCUUGGUCCUUUUUACAUAACACUCUCGGCCGCCCAAUAGGGCUGGCUAUCUUUCUCUUUAUACGCAAUAUCUUGGAAGGCAAAGAAAAACAUCUACCUUGGAACCGUCAUUGACUGAUAUAUUCAUUGCAUGGAAUGCCACACUCAGCGACUGGGGACCCGGUCUUCAUUAGCAAUUUAUGGCAUGAGCUCUUUCGUUUACAAGGGACACAAUUUAACAUGAGUACUGCUUUACACUCUUUUCCCGGGUGGGGCUUCUUAUACCUAAACGCAGCAGGCCCCGCGAGUAGUCGAACAAAUGAGAGGUUGUCGACGAAGGGGUCAAAGGUUGCGCUUGCGAUAAUCCGAAGGUUGCGCAAGACCCCUUCAACCUCGCCCGCGUGUUAGCUUGCUUGUACUAUCGCUCGCCUGCCUGACCUGCUUUCUGGCUAGCUUCUUUAACAAGACCCCUUCAACCCUGCCCGCGUGUUAGCUUGCUUGUGCUAUCGCUCGCCUGCCUGACCUGCUUUCUGGUUAGCUUCUUUAAGGCAAGCGCUACCAGAACCUAGCUAGCGCUAAUCUUUCUAACGUCGUCUGAAUUGCCUUGCAAGCGCUACAUCUAUAUGGCAAGCCCACGUCGCCGUCGUCUCCCAUUGUAGUCGCCUUCUUCAUAUGGCAAGCGCUACCCGUCGCAUGCACUACAUUGUCUGACGAUAACCUUGCCUGACCGCUUCCGCUCUGACUGAGCUGGCCGUCGCACCUGACUUCUAUAUCCCAUUAUCCAUUGAUCUCCUUCCUUAUGGUUGCCGGUCUAAGCAGAAGGUUGCUAAGUCAGAUGUCUGGUGAACACAUACGUAAUGAGUAUGGGUCUAGUAUGUGUACUAGUAAGGACGCGAGGUACUGAGUUGAGCGUCGAAAAGGCAAGUAGUGGAUCUUUAUUAUCGAAUGAUAUGGGAGACAGUCAAAGCAUCAGUCUCAACAUCAACAGAAGAAAAGGAGUGACCGACCACCGUUCAAGAGAGAUCCCGAAGGCUUGAACUUUUUGCUAGCUUUGAAAGAUGGGCGGAAGGAAAGAGGAAGACCAAACAAAGUCGCAGUCAAAGCAAAGAAAAAGAUGCCAAAAAAGAUUCGCUUAAGCUUCUAGCUCGCUUAGUUUAGUGUAGGUUGCUUGCAAGACUUUUGAUAGCUGGCUCGGCCGAACGGAACCAACAAUCUAGAUAGAUGGUUCGUUCACUCCCUAUUCUUUGAGAGGUUGCUUGCGUUCGAUAGCUGGCUCAACCGAACGGAAUCGCUGAUCUAGAUAUAAGGGUCGUACACUCCCUAUUCUUUGAGAGGUUGCUUGCGACGGUAGCAUUAGCUAGGCCAUCAAGGCAGGUCGAACAAGUCAGUCCUAGGGUGAAGAUCAUCGGAUGAGAAAAUGGAUUGAGCUGGCUAAUUACAUUGAUGACCCGGUGUAGAAUGGGAACAGAGAGUCGCUCCUAUAAACGAAUGAAUGGGACUCCUGGUCCUGAUCGAACCAGAGAUUCCGACAACCCGGGGAAUCGGCAGAAAGAGAUGGGUCGGAUACUGGAAUCUGCCCAAAAGUCCUGACUUUUUCGAGGCAGGGCUUCGACCCGUAUCUGGCCAACUCCUCGAACUGCUGGGUGCGGCAUAUUCAUGGACUGGCAAAUCCCAAAAGUCUUGACUUUUUCGAGGCAGCGCAUCGACCCGUAUCUGGCCAACUCCUCGAACUGCUGGGUGCGGUAUAUUCAUGGACUGGCAAAGCUAACUCUCAAUUUGAUCAGGAGAGCCUAGAGAGCUCUCUAUCUUUCCCCAAAUUCCGACUAGCGCGGUUCUUUUUCUCGACCAAUUUGAAUUCCAUUUCAUUUUUUAUUUUAAGUGUUGUAGAGUAGUAAACUCUCAAUUUGAUCAGGAGAGCCUAGAGAGCUCUCUAUCUUUCCCCAAAUUCCGACUAGCGCGGUUCUUUUUCUCGACCAAUUUGAAUUCCAUUUCAUUUUUUAUAUUAAGUGUUGUAGAGUAGUAAGUAGCUAGGCAAAUUCAACGCAUGCUGCGUUGAGAAUCUCCAAAGAAAUUAGAAGCGCCUAUGAUAGCGUAUGAUUAUUCCCAUUUGUGAUCGACGUUUUCUUGCAAGAGGUGGCGAUCGGCAGUGUUCCAAAGCGCCACAAUGACGUGCGUUAGAGCAUUAUGGCAAACAAUCCCAGCACCUGUAGUUAUGGGGAUCGCCUUCGGCUUGCUAUACUCUUUCCCUAACGCAUGCUGGUUACCAUAAAGACACCGAGGGAUAUCGCAUGCGCUAGUUUCGGGGAUGUUGUUUACACUACUAUUGGUAACAACUCAAAGUGCCGGAACGACUCUAGUGGUGCAAGCGAAGGUUUCAGUCUUGUCGAGCGAAGCAACCACUAGUCGCCCUUUGGUUACCAUAAAGACAUCGAGGGAUAUCGCAUGCGCUAGUUUCUGGGAUGUUGUUUACACUACCAUUGGUAAAUACUCAAAGUGCCGGAACGACUCUAGUGGUGCAAGCGAAGGUUUCAGCCUUGUCGAGCGAAGCAACCACUAGUCGCCCUUAGUGCUCCAAAACACCCUUUCGCUUGCGUGAGCAACGGCCCCUAGCGCCCAGAGCAAGCGCCUUUAGUGUUCCCGACCGCCUGCCUUUCGGCCUUAGCGUUCCAAACAACCAGUAGUGUGACCGAUCUGUGUUCAAAACAACCGAUGACGCUAGCGACGACUCGUGGGGCCCCCUAACGCCGAACAAAAAGGACUAGGAAAACCGAUGACGCUAGCGACAACUCGUGGGGCCCCCUAACGCCGAAAUAAAGGACUAGUGCUAUAACGAGUUGUGGUGUUACGGAACAACUACCCGACGCGUGGUAAUAAGGACAACACAAGUAGGUUGACAGUAGCGUUACGACGACUGGUUCUCGUAGUUGUAUUGCCCUAACUCAACGACUCAAACAACUACGAGUGCUCCCAAGAAGAUGAGACGCAUGCGCUAUACCGUCAAGUAUUGCUUGCGAAGCAACCGCAACUUGUUGUAGGUCCUCUCCAACCAUUACAGUCGAGUAGCUUUCACUCCUUCGCUUGAAAUGUGCAGUUUCUUUACCUAACGCAUGGCUUCCCUAACGCCAAUAGUCGCAUGAGUUCUCCUAGGCCAUAACCCAUGCGUUGAAAGAAACCGCAUGAUGCGUUCCGGAGUUGCCGUAGUUCCGUUACCGCCUUGUCGUCUUGGGUUGGGAAGGAUACGACAGGCUCAAUUCAAGGACACUCAAUUCACCCCCUUGUCGUCUUGGGUUGGGAAGGAUACGAUAGGCUCAAUUCAAGGACACUCAAUUUCAAGCUCAAUUUCAUGCUUUCGAAGCUCUGACACUUUCUGUCGCAUUUGUUCUCUCUUUUGUUUACCUUUCAUUUUCACUUUCUUUGUAUAGAAUGUAGUGCCCAUCAGUUUAAAGGAAGGGGUGAAGUCUCGGGAUCUGCAUCGACUGGAUAAAUAGUUUCCACUGAUGGGGAGGUUCUUUAACUGGCUAAUUGACUUAGUGAAUCGGCUAUGAUGCUCUUUUUGUCUGUGGGAUCAACUCCACCUUAGAGAUCUUCCAGAUCCGCAACUACAAGCUCUCGAGUGGGAACAGGAUCUCCUACUGCUGAUAGGCAUGCAAUCGAAGAAUCUGGCGAGAUAUAGAGAGGAUAUUCUCGAACUGGACCGCAUCUCCAUUUGCACCUGGAUAAUGUGCUGCCCUUUUCUUUUCUUCCAAACUCGGUCGAAUAAGUCGUAAACCUUUUUGGUGGAUCGACGAGAGUGCGCCUAGCCAGGAGUGUGGUUGGUUUCACCUCCCGUGCGCUAGCUCUGCCUUUGCCGGACGGGUAUACAUUUCAUCCAUAUCGCCAGCCUCACAGGGACGGAGAUGCUUAUGUUUAUAUAUCACGGCUUCCUAAGAUGCUAACACAGGGGCUACUAUUGCUACGGGAGCUUAGUGGUAGAGCAAGAAGAGAGGAGAUGGAGAUAUAGGCCAGCUAAAUGCCCUCAAAUCCGUCUACGAAAACGUGCUGGUACACGACAUGUAAGUACAACUAACCUUAAACGAGGUGCUUUCUCGGGCUCGGGAAUGAGUGGUGAACCAGGAAUCGACCCUAUGAAUAGCUCCUUACCUUAGUCAUAGUUAGGUUAGGCCUACUUCUUUCAAAACAAAAAGGGGAAUGAAUAGCCAAAGCCCCUUCUAUGAAGUCAAGCAACCGAACCUCUCGGGUGACCUUCCCCUCCUUUCCGCCUUCGUAUACUUCUUUCAAAAUAAAAAGGGAAUGAAUAACCAAAGCGCCUUCUAUGAAGUCAAGCAACCGAACCUCUCGGGUGACCUUCCCCUCCUUUCCGCCUUCGUACGACUAGUCUGAUUUUCUUUAUUCCUUCCUUGUCGUGAAUCGCUCCUUCCCACCUUACAGAGAGGGAUGUCCCUGCCCCACCCCAGGCAGGAGAAGGGCUUAUACUGCUCGCCUGUCGCUGUCGAGUUGCUCUGUGCUUGCUCAUUCUAGCUAGUCGUGACGACCUCUCAUUAUUCUUUUUUCCAGUCGCCUUCUUCCUUUGUCUUUUCCUUAUGGCACGACUGAGCUCGUGUCCGUCUCAGUCUCUGAUUAGCGAGUUCAGUUGCUUGCUGGGCGGUAUGCUUCUUCCCACCUUACAGAGAGGGAUGUCCCUGCCCCACCCCAGGCAGGAGAAGGGCUUAUACUUCUCGCCUGUCACUGUCGAGUUGCUCUGUGCUUGCUCAUUCUAGCUAGUCGUGACGACCUCUCAUUAUUCUUUUUUCCAGUCGCCUUCUUCCUUUGUCUUUUCCUUAUGGCACGACUGAGCUCGUGUCCGUCUCAGUCUCUGAUUAGCGAGUUCAGUUGCUUGCUGGGCGGUAGAGUCGCUAGACUGACGACUGAGGGCCCUCUCUAUCGCCAGUCGGUAGAGUCACUUGGAUUCUCUCUCACUAGCUUCCCUCUCGCUUGACUCACUCUGAUUCUGCACUUGCCGAGUGAGCAUAGCUUGCAAUCACUCUGAGUCUCGCUAAUUGCUCUGAUCCAUUUGCUUAUUCUUCUCUCCUUUUGCGCUAGACCGAGUUCGUUCAUUCUCAUUCGUAGUAGGGGGCUUCGCUGACAGAGUAUGCUUAUUCUUCUCUCCUUUUGGGCUAGACCGAGUUCGUUCAUUCUCAUUCGUAGUAGUGGGCUUCGCUGACAGAGUGCUAUUCAUUGUCUAGCCUUCGUCAACUUUCAACAAUCUUAUGCUUACGUUGCUAAAGAAGCCUUCAAACCAAUCAAGAGUGAGGCGGACUAGCGACCGACUAGCAACCAAUAAAGUAUCAGAGUGACCGGCAAGCUAGCAACAACGAAUGAAUGAGCGACAGUAACUCGAAAGGCUUUAAGCAUCUUUCAUCUUGCAAGAGCCUACCUCAACCCGAAAGCGAGACAGGUGGCUAGGUAGAGAAUACCUAGUGGCGCGAGAUAACUCUCUCGUUUGAACUCGGCAAUUUAUCCUGGCUGAAAGGGAACUCUUUGUAGUUGGGGGUGGUAGGUGACAGAACUCCGUUUGUGAUCCAAGCCCUGGAAUUACUUAAGACUCGUAUAAGCAGAGUCUAUAAGUAGACAAAGAUAAGAUAAUAAGCAUCUUGCUUGCUUUUCAAAGCGACGUCGUGCCUACUUGUGAAGAGUCAUCAGCAAGAUUCGUCUGUGUGCCACACAUAGGAUCUGAAGACUGAGCUCACUUCUUAUCUUACGUGAUUGACGGUGACACCUCCUAAACUUCCUGUGCUUGGAUCCACAGCGUGGUAUCUUCCACCCUUCAUUAAUGCUAAAAAUACGUUGAUGAGAAGGGGGUAUUUGCCGACAAGAAGCCUUUUUUUCAUUUAAAGGAGUCUAGUCUGUACGGAUGCGAAUGACACCUCCAAAACAUCCUGUGCUUGGAUCCACAGCGUGGUAUCUUCCACCCUUCAUUAAUGCUAAAAAUAUGUUGAUGAGAAGGGGAUGUUUGCCGACAAGAAGCCUUUUUUUCAUUUAAAGGAGUCUAGUCUAUACGGAUGCGCUUACCCCUGAUAGUGAUGGAUAUGGAUGAUGAAAGCCCGCCAGCGAAAGCCGAAGCACAGGUUCGCAGACCUCUCUAAAUCCCAAGAAGGGGAUUUACGGUCAACGCUAUCUCACUCAGAGAGCAUGACCCCGUUGACGAAUAGAAUAUCUAAACUGGGGCUGGGGACUUUCAUUUGAUCAAAGGGCUCCUUUCGCCUUUCAGGUCUUUCUCGCGUCUUGCCGAGCAUCUAGGAAUACAUAGAUUCUUUAAUUAGUCAAUCUUGGUACCGGAGCUGAAUCCGCAUUCCCUAAGGAGGCCUGGUCAAUCAGAUGAUUUUGUCUGGUUGAAAGUAGUCAACCGGCUUCUUCAAUCAAGCAGCACUCAAACGAAAGAAUAAGCAAGAGGAAGGAAUUGUCCAUGGGAUGGACAACGAAGUGUAUCGAUCCUCCCAAGCCUCUUCUCUUAUUAGUGGGUGAGGAGCUCUAUAGUCCAGGUGCACUUCUUCGUAGAUUCCCAGUAUCUCUAGGCGUAUCAUCAAUUUUUCCUUCCGGUGAUUCAUCGAUUGUAUCUCUGAGGCCUAUCGCCAGUAUCUCUUACCUGUUCGGGUCAUUCUACCAUUCUUCAAUCUCUAGAUCGAGUUGCUAGCUUCUUCUCUACCAGUCCUGGAUGUAGAUUCUCGACGAAUCAUCGGUAUUUCCUUCGUCAUUUGAUUUGUUCACCGAUGCCAAUUUCUCUCUUGCUACCGAGCUAGAAGUUAAUCGAAGCAUGCUUCAACCAAUCAAAGUUGUUUUUUCUGAUAUCAAUGCUAGCAUCUCUUGUUUGGUGAUCUGUACUGAGGUGUUCGCAAGGAGCUAUGCCCAAGGGGGAGGGUGUCGAGAGCGAGGAAAUCAAAGUUGUUUUUUCUGAUAUCAAUGCUAGCAUCUCUUGUUUGGUGAUCUGUACUGAGGUGUUCGCAAGGCGCUAUGCCCAAGGGGGAGGGUGUCGAGAGUGAGGAUCCAUUUGCUAAUUCUCGAAUGGUUUAGUAACCCGCUCUUGUAGCUCUUGUUCCUAUUUUAUGAAGCUAGGAUUCCUCUUGUUCUUCUCUUGAGCUUGUAAAAGAGCCUCAACCUUGGUAUCGACGAAUCACAACUCUUUCUUUUAGGGUAUUAUCCGCAGGAGAUCUGGUGUUGUAGUUUAUUGUUUGCUGGGCCUAGGAGCCAACCCCGAAGCCAAGGUCGAACGCACGCCUGAAGCGAACCCAAGCUUAAGGAGCUCUGAGCCCCAAGCCAGCACUUGCUACUCUCUUCUUGGUGAUCGAGUUUGGUAGCUCUUCGGUGUAUCGACAUCCCGAUUUCUACUCGAUAGAUCCCGCAAAUACGCUUGCUAAUUUGUCGGUGCCUAUUCUUUGAUUCAAUCUAGUGAUUCACCGCAUUCCCUUUUCUAGUCAGGAGUCUGGGAUGCCCAACUCAAGAGAAGUCCUAAGGUUCUGUUAAAAUAUCCUUAAUAGCAUCUCUUUCUCUAGAAUCCUGGCUUGUAGAUCUUUGGCGAAUCAAUAGGGGUUCUUUCAUAAAUAAGUUUUUCUCCAAACCUUGUUUGUUACUGAGCUGGGUAACUCAAACCCUAUCCCCUUCCUUUCUUAUUAGUAGAUAGAUGUAGAGCUGGAGACUCCCUUGAUAGGGCAUCCCAAUCUGGCUCUCAAUCUAUCGUGUAAGGAACGAAUACCAUAGGCAUAGGGUAAUUGCUCCUUACUUUUAAUUGAGAUAGGGGCUCGUUCGAUGCAAGUAUUUUGUUUCGAUCUCCUCCCUAUCUUCUUUCUAUGAAGAAUUCUCAAAAAAGGAGUCAACCUGUCUAAACUUCUCUACAAAAGUCUUCCCCACGCUAGGAGCCUUAGCAAGAAUGGUUGGAACCGGUCUGACCUAUGAGACUACUCAAAAGGAGGCUUCCUACCAGCACUAGAGUGGGAUAAGUAAACCUUGCCUUAGGUCAAUCCCUUCCCCUACUCGGGCAAGCAACAGACCCUUUUAAACAACCUCUUAUUAUUUGUUCUCUUCCUGCAGCGUUGGCUUCCUUUUACCUAUGAUAUCCCCAAGAGCAAAUUCGAUUGCAGUUGCAUCGGAGCUAGCUUCGAAAGAGAGGAGGCAUCCUUAUCUGAGUCGAUCGUUAGCCUAUUUAUCUUUUUGAUUUAUUCACUUCCUCCAGCAUUGGCCUUCUUACCUAUGAUAUCCCCAAGAGCUAGUUCGAUAGCAGUUGCAUCGGAGCUAGCUUGGAAAAAGAGGAUGCAUCCUUAUCUGAGCCGAUCGUUAGACUAUUUCUUCUUCUCGAGUAGCUUACUCUUGCUCUGUGCGCUAGGGAGUCAGACUAUGCUUAGUUCUCAUUUAUGUUUGCGCUGUGUGAGUUCUAGCUAGGAAGCAAGCGCCGCAAAGGGUUGACAGGGCAGCUCGACUGGUAAAGAAGGAGAUGGUACCGAAGCGGGAGGCUCGUAGACGCUACUAGUGCAAUGACUAGUGUAAUCUCUUUUCUCUAGUGAACUUUUUCUUAUGUAAACCCGGUGUGUUAUAAGUCUUUUAACUAGUCCAAUGGAAAUCUCCUCUAUUGCAGCAAAAGUAAAAAAAGGGUACUCGUGCUGCAGCUUGCUUACCUAAAAUGAAAAUCCUUACUAGCCAAAGUAAGGAACUUUCUUACUGGAGCAUACAUAACGGACAAGGACUUAUAAGACUAUUCUUAGCCUGUUAUUCNNNNNNNNNNNNNNNNNNNNNNNNNNNNNNNNNNNNNNNNNNNNNNNNNNNNNNNNNNNNUUAGCCUGUUAUUCAAGAAUCUUUCCUCAGAAUGGAUGAUGAAUGGAAGCGAGAUUGGAUUGACGUAUAGAAACUACAACUACGGAUUUGAUCCCUUUCUCUUAGGGAAUCUAGACUAGACGAGGGAGAUAUAAAGGUAACGUUGACGCUACGACAAAGAAAGUCAUUCAAUAAGUAAUGAAUGAGCUAAUUUCUUAUUAGAAGCCUAUUUAACUAGACAUGUCUCCUUUACCGGGGGGUUCCCACAGAGAAGUCUUGCUCUGGCUUGCCAAAAGCAUUUAAUAUUGAGAAUCUUGGAUGUAUUACACACUGGUGGAAUUGCGUAAGUAAUAAGGCUCUUAACUAGCUUAGUGAAUCAAUUUAAAAAAUAUUGAGAAUGUUGGAUGUAUUAUACAUUGGAGGAAUUGCGUAACUAAUAAGGCUUUUAACUAGCUUAGUGAAUCAAUUUAAACUAGUAAAUAGAGUAUGUUUUUGUUGACAGUGAGUAAAUGUUUGAUUCAGAGUCAGCGUAUUGGCUGACAAAAAAUGCUUUUCCAUUCAGAAAUCAGAAUCCCAUAUGUGGAGCCUCCCCUUCAUGUCUAUGUAAGGACUGAAGAACGAGUGAAUCUUGUAUUAGGGUUUAUGCCCAUCGCUGAUCAUGUGGUCGGUUUCCCCGCUUUUGAUUCCGACCAUGAUUUACUUAUUAUUCCUCCUCGUCCAUUAAUUCAGCUCCUUAGUUCAAUUAGUCCCUUCCUCAAAACCUAUUUCCGCAAAUGCCACUACUCUUAUUCCGCAAUAUGGGAUUGUUGGUUUGACAUGCCACCCCUUUCAUAUAAUAAAUGGAAUUGCAAUCUCCAUUCUACAGCUGCUCUGAUGUCUCGCCUGCCUGCUUGGUUAUAGGGCUAUAAGUGAGCAGGGCUUUUGAAAAUAGAGAGGUAGAGCAGCUAGGAGCUAAAUAUUAGAAGAGCGCCCUCUCUUUUUCUACAGCUGCUCUGAUGUCUCGCCUGCCUGCUUGGUUAUAGGGCUAUAAGUGAGCAGGGCUUUUGAAAAUAGAGAGGUAGAGUAGCUAGGAGCUAAAUAUUAGAAUAGCGCCCUCUCUUUUCUUCGGGAAAUUGAGUUCGCUGGGCUAGUUCCCUGUCCCCGAUAUGUAACGAAAAGAUUGAUUGGUUUACCACAUUCAUGAAAGCACUUGACUCUCUGGUGGUCCUUUACCUUUCUAAAAGAGAAGAGAAGAGAGGUAGUCGCAGCAGGAGAAGGAGCCCUAAACCCUGAGGAUCACUCGACCCCGACCGGUCAAUCUCCUGUCAUUGCUAUCUCGUGCGCGAAGGGUUGCCCAUGCUCCUAAUUAAGUCCAUCCGGGUCUUCCNNNNNNNNNNNNNNNNNNNNNNNNNNNNNNNNNNNNNNNNNNNNNNNNNNNNNNNNNNNNNNNNNNNNNNNGCAUUCAUGAAAGCACUUGCCUCUCUGGUGGUCCUUUACCUUUCUAAAAGAGAAGAGAAGAGAGGUAGUCGCAGCAGGAGAAGGAGCCCUAAACCCUGAGGAUCACUCGACCCCUACCGGUCAAUCUCCUGCCAUUGCUAUCUCGUGCGCGAAAGGUUGCCCAUGCUCCUAAUUAAGUCCAUCCGGGUCUUCCUUCCAUCUUUAAAUUAAGGUUCAGACUCAAUCGGCUGUCCUCUCCGAUUGGCGAACGUCGAAAGAGAAGGCGUAGGAAGGAACUGAUUGCAUUAGUCUCAGGUCAGGGACAUAGCCAUGUAUUACGAGAUUAGGCCGAUCAGAGAAUGCCAAUUAUUAAUUAAUAAUAAAAGAGGUAUCGAAUCUUUGCUUUAACAACUUUCAAAGUUGCACUAGCAUUAGCAGGAGGAGAAUCAGAUAAUGCCAAUUAUUAAUUAAUAAUAAAAGAGGAAUCGAAUAUUUGCUUUAACAACUUUCAAAGUUGCACUAGCAUUAGCAAGAGGAGGAGCACUAGUAGAAAGAACCUCUCUCAGAUGUCCAUAAAGAUGUUAUUCAAGUUAUUCAAAAGGAAGUCGAUAAAGAUUCAUCCCCUGCUCUUAGUGCUAGCUCUUUAUGUCUGGCACUGAAGAAGAAAGAUCAGAUGCGCCAACUCUGCUCUUUGCAUGUUUUCAUGAAUCAUUGGACAAUGUUGCGACAUGAAUCGAGGCUAGGUACGACCGAUUUCUAUUGAAUUAGCCCCAAUUUCUAUAAUAAUGUUUAUCAGAAUCACUAGUUGUAAUAGAUUCGCAAGGGAGAAGAAGGCUAAGCUACCCCUCCGUUGUCUCGCACACCAAGGCAAAAGAGAUUCAACAGUCGGCUGGGGAACCGGAAUCGAAGCAUACCAAGACUCAGGAUAAGGAAGGGUAAGGCAUCUAAGAAUAAGGCAAGUAGACCCAUACUCAGGCAAGAAAGAAAGUCUCUUACAAAAAAGGCAGGAAGAAGAGGCCCUCGCUCUACAUGAAACCUAAUAGAAUGGGCUACUUCUUAAGGUGGAAUGGACCACUUAUCAUAGAAGAAUCUUUCUUACAUCGAUUACUGACUAUACGGACAAAGUAAGUCAAAGAAAAGCCGAUGCACCUGAUACGACUAAAAAAGAGAGCUAUGGUCCAAAACCCCAAGUAAUUGACCAGGAGAGGAUCAUCAGGAAUGGACUAAGGGCCUACCAACCCUUUCUUAAUCUAAGGCAUCUGCCCUGGCAGAAAAGAAGACGGAAAGAAAGCCGAUUCAUACCUUAGCUUUGAACCAGCUUCUUCAAUCCUGCUACUCUUCUCCCUCUAUAUAGCGCGGGUAGCUUGCUUCCAAGCCACUGGCCGGAACCAGAUAAGGAACAAGAGAGAGAAGCAGCUCAAUUCAAAGGUUAGGCGCGAUAGCCACUCGUGCAGAAGGAGAUGUUUGGGAGAAAAGCCCAGUCUCAUGGUGCUUUUGUUAGGAGUUCCCCCUCUCUAGUAUAUUUUACUGUGGCAACCCUGAUGGAAAAGAUUGUUGGCCCCCUCUCUGCUGGUUCUCUCAGACUAGCAUCAACUGAUGUUAAGGUUAACCCAAUAGUAAGGUUUCAUUACUUCCGAAAUCUGGUAAGAGAUGUGGAGAGGUGUGUGAGCAGAAGGAUUCAUGAUGUACAAAAAAGCCGUUCCAUGUAGGAAUUCAUGUACCAACAAGAGUUUGGUCCUAUAUAUUUAGGGUAUGUUGGACCUUCAUUGCCUGCUGAUCUAUCCAAUGAUUUUCUGAUGGGAUAAUUCUGUUGUUGUGACCACAAUAUCGCAUUACCAUGGCGGCUGCCAAAGUGGUUGAUAGGAACUUAAGACUGAGGCACUCAGAGUUGUUGAUGGUUCAACCUUUACUGUGUCACCGGGCACCAAUCUGCAGGCUACUCUGUUGAUGCUUGGCCGCUAAGUGCUUUAAUAUGCAUUGGUUAUUGCACAGAAGUGCGAUUGCGACUAAUCAGGAGCUUUCGUAUGUAAACAAAAGAGUAGACAUCCCCCUUGAUAACUGAAUGCAAGCGAGGCUGGACCUAGAUUCGCGUAUGUAAGUGAAAAUGAAAAGAAAGGAGUUCCCCUUCCCCUUCUCAUGUCUUGUCUAGAAAGGGGAAGAGGAGCUCAAACAAGGUUCAAAGAUCCCCUCCCCAAAGUAUGGUUCAAAGAAAGCUUUUCGGGUUAGUGAGGAACAUGAUAGUGAAAGAGAGAAGAAAGGAAAUCAGUUUAUGGCGGCUUACCUUCGUACAUUCAAGAACAGUUGUUACUCCUUGGCAUCUAUCAAUGCACCGCUGUCCGAAUCUAAUAUGUUUACAUUCCUUCUUGCUGGCUUGCCUUCGGACUAUGAAAGCUUUGUCACUAUGGCGAAGCUUCAACGACCAAAACCAACUAUGGCUGAGCUUCUGUCUAGCUUGUUGUAACAUGAGUCUUGCCUUCAGCAGAUGCAUCCUAUUACUAUAUUGAAGAUCUUGUAUACUAACCGAGUCUGCACUCGCCCGAGAACACGUACGUCCUCCCUGUAAUUAUCUUGUCUUUGUUAUGGUUUCAGGGCCUACAUUACCCGUAUGGAGACACCAUCAUUCACAAGGCAUGCUUUACAUUGGACCCAAUGUUGAGCUUCUCAUAGCCGGUGAACUAGGCAAGCGACCCUUCAAGGCAGCCAGCCUUUCUGCAAAAUCAAUGUCCGCCUCGCCGCUGCUUUCGGGUGAUUGGAGAAUAGCUGUAAGGAAUACUAAACGAAAGUAUGCAGCGAGGCAAAGCCGAUUGAGAAUAUGACGGUUAGCCCCUCGGCGCUUGGGAUAGCGGUAAGGAAUACUAAAUGAAAGUAUGCAGCGAGGCAAAGCCGAUUGAGAAUAUGACGGUUAGCCCCUCGGCUUUUGGGAGGAAUCCUAUUUAAUAAAGAUUCUUCCUCUAGUCGAAUAGAGUAGUAGUCCAGGCCUCCGAAAUACAAGAUUCUCAUGAGUAAAAUCUUGGUAUCAGAGCUCCUUUUUCGCUCAUAAUUCGUUUCCUCCUUAUACUAGAAUUUGACUUGAAUUCCCCCCGAAAGAGAGAAUGCACUAUAUGCCUUUAAAAUAAAAAGAAGGCUGGAAAAAAGAGAGAGCUCAUUUCUUUUCUAGCUUUUGCGGGAGGAAUAAAAUACAUAUCCUAUACGAAGGCCUAUAUACAAAAAAGCACUUUGCCUAGAAUCCCAAGUUGCCUCCCCUCUCCUCUGAGGCCGAUAGCAUCCGCUUUUGGAGCCCCUCGCCUUUGAGUACGGCAGCAGCCCAGACAUAGACCAAAUUAGGGGCCUAAACUCUUGAGUAGAUUGCCCAUGGAAAGGAGCUUACUCCAAGAUCUUACUCCGCCCGUGUAGGAGUUCGGGAAGGCCAGAAGUAAACAAAGAGCGGUAGAAGAGAAUAAAGUGUUGCGCCCAUUCUUUUCAUUCACAUCUUACUCCGCCCGUGUAGGAGUUCGAGAAGGCCAGAAGUAAACAAAGAGCGGUAGAAGAGAAUAAAGUGUUGCGCCCAUUCUAUUCUUUCAUAGCUGGAGCAAAUGGAAGGAGACGUCGUGCAAGUCGAAGACUUUGAUAGGUGUCGGUAGGCACGCCUCUUAUAAGGGCUCAAUCCUGAUAAUCAAUCCCAAUCGAAUCUAUGGAAGAGAGACCCUCUAUCCUCUUAAUCUUUAGAGUAGAUAUUAUGUAUAGGAUAAUCAGUCAACUGCGUGUGCCCAAGACAAGGCAAGAUGAAUAGGAAUGUUGAAGGGACAUAAGGCUCAGCUAAGGUAAGGAAAGACCCUGACCAUCUAGGUCACCAAGUACUCUUAUUUUUAGGGCAAGAUGAAUAGGAAUGUUGAAGGGACAUAAGGCUCAGCUAAGGUAAGGAAUGACCCUGACCAUCUAGGUCAACAAGUACUCUUAUUUUUUAGGGAGUCGGAGACGAUCGAAGAGGCAGCAAAUAGGAACUUUCGAUAAGGGAGAGCUUAACAAGGUCGAGACCAAGAUGAUGGAUAUUCCAAGGAAGAUCGAAGAAGAUGAAUGAAGGUUUAUACCUACCCCUAACUGGCACUAUGAAUCCAAUCCCAUCUACAUAGAUGUUCCUAGCCACGAGAUGAGGGGGUUCUCUCUUACUGUUAAGCCGUCUUCAACUCUUCUUUCUUUACUCCUUUCCGCAUCGGGGCUGAUAAUUGGAUAGAAUCUCCUUAAAUAAAGAAAGGGGGCGUAUAAAUUGGGUUUUUGGCUCGCAAUAAAGCUAGGGUCCUGAUCGAGCAACUAGUAGUCCUAUCUAUCCGAAAAGGGGCAUAUAAAUUGGGUUUUUGGCUCGCAAUAAAGCUAGGGUCCUGAUCGAGCAACUAGUAGUCUUAUCUAUCCACCUCUCCAGACAUAAUAUCUUGAUUACCUAUGAUGGUGACCACAUCUGCUGGCAUGUGAUGUUUGGAGAUAGAAUCGAGUCCUUGUGAAUGGGCAAAGCCAGGUGCUCUUAUUUUACAACGGUAGGGAUGAUUUUUUCCAUUACUGACUAGAAAGACACAAAAUUCUCCUUUAGGUGCUUCAACUGCGGUAUAGGUAGAAGGAGCUGGUAUGGAAAAACCUUCUGUAUAAGGUUCCAAAUGGUAAAUUGAGGUAGAGUAGACCGAUGAUCCUGUAGUCAUUUUGCCAGCUAUUGAAAGAAAAAGCUUGCAUCUGCAUCCCCUAUUAUAUAACCGGUCCUAUCUCUCUUCAAACCUAACGUCUUAGUUUCCCAUCAUAGGGCUUCCUAUCAAUAGAUUAAGCCAUUACCAAGGAGCUACUUCAUUCAGAACUCAGUUGACUGCUUCUAUAGAGAAGGCGGAGCGUCCUUGGCUCAGCAUUAUAGCACAUAGGGCUUCGGCGCUACUACAGCGCUUCGCUAACUCGAAGCGCCUCGCUAUGAGAAUCUAGCUUCGCUAACCCUCGACUAAGUCUUGAACCUUUGCGCUGACCGUUCGCUUUCUCAGUAGCAAAAGCGCUUCUCUUUGCCCCGUAACCUUUAGAAGGACAAGAAAGAGAUUAUUGGUUUUCUUGCUCCCGCUUCCUCAUCUGCGCUCAUCAAGCCAACUUCGCUCUUUGGGAGGUGAAACAGCGGUUGAAGCGGACAUUUAGAAAUGACAACAUCGAAGAUAUAUUUCUAUAUAUACACGAUUACGGUUAUCUCGGACUGCAUUCCGGAAAAAGUAGCCUACUUGUGGGGCACUGUGUACUUACAGCCUCUACGAUAAGCAAGUGAAUGUGGUCGGUGUGUGGCGAACGUUCAUCAAGCCAUUUUUCGCCUCAACUCCAUAAAUAGGAAGAGGGGUAGUUUACAAAUUGGGGUAGUCAAUUCGCACCUGACUGUGAUAGCCCUCUCGAUACCUUAUUGGAGAUUUGUAACUAGUGGCCGAUUUCCCGUCGUGUCAGCCUUUUCCCAGUGCACGGAGCCCCAAUGAGGAAGGUGUUAGUGCUUUAUCAUUGGGUCAAUAAUGCUAAUCCCUCUUUUUGUGCUACUCCUAGGGCGGGAAGAAGAUAAGAAAACGCGAAGCGUUCUCUUGCUUUCCCAACCUGUUGUUUCUAAAGACUGCCCUCUCUCGGCUGGAUCUUGGUCCAGCCUACUACGAGGAUCCCGUAUCCAGCAACUUCUUUCCCAACCUAUUGUUUCUAAAGACUGCCCUUUCUCGGCUGGAUCUUGGUCCAGCCUACUACGAGGAUCCCGUAUCCAGCGACCCAACAUAUAAAAAGGGCAUCAAAGCCUCUUAACUAGGUUGGAGCUAUAAAGCUUACCUUAUAUUAUUGAAAAGGAAAAGGGCCUUCUCAGCUGGUAUGAAGGAGCGCACUUCCAUUUUCCCUUUACUAGUAGGGGGUUCCGUGGUUUCUAUGCCACCGCGUUUCCCGGUCCUUAUCUAUUAGUGCUUCGACCCGAAGCGAUAGCUUCUAGCUAGUUCAGUAGAUAAGAUGGCUCCGCUCCAGCUCACUCAAGAAUGGGACGGUAGUGGUCCGCCAGCAAGCUCGUUCUGAUCUUGGACGCAGUACAUUGGAAUCCCGAAGCACCACCACGAAUGCUAGCGCGCAUCCGCCUGCGGUGCGGUAAGGCACCACCCUGUUGUGCCACCAGCCAACUCCGGCGUGUCAGCUUAGUUAUCCUCAUCAAACCACAUACUUAAUGUCUAGCUUCCCAACUGGCACACGUUUCCUUUUCCCCCAAAUCAAUGAAGAAGGGAGACGUAAGUUGAUUCUUCCAUAGAAUCGGAAGCGAAUCGCUAUGCCGGGGGGGGGGGACAGAAAAAAAAACGGCUUCAAAGAAAAAAAUUGGGGUUCCAAUGCUUCUCCACGCUCAACGAGAUGUGCCAACCUCGGGAUGCUAUACUCCUAACCCCACAAGGUUCCGAGACGGAGCUUAACCUGAGUCUCGGUUAAGAACGGCAAUGAUAUACGUUUCACAUAGCGCACGAUUCCAUGGAUAGUUUCAUUCGAGAUCGUGAUGGAGGACAUGGCUUACGAUCAUCGGCUUUGAUCAAGCCACUAAGCAUUUGAUUAAGACAUUGCACAAUGAUCCGAACACUUUGUUGCUUCUCUUCGAUACGAAUACAGUAACGAUCAUAGCAAUAUCCUCUGGUACCUACUGGAAUGUCAGGAUCCAAUUGGUCAUGAACAUCGUAAGAUGCUGCUUUUCGCAAAUCCCAGCAUACCCCAGAACCUCUUAGCAUUACACCACUGAAUCCUCAAUCCUUUUCUUGCUGUGCAUUGACAGUACCAAUAUCCACUAUUUGUUGUUUCCAGAUAUGGUUUUCGGUUGACAUCUCUUCUAAUUCGUCGAUACGAGAAGCAAAUUGUUGUGUGAAUGAAUCAAUAUCUAUACAUAAGCCAAGAGGCAGAGCGGACUUUCCCUCAGGAAUGUUUAUCAUGGAGGCCAGUGUUGCGAAUGCAUCCGCGAACUUAUUUUUUCUCUGAAAGGUGAGAGAAACUGAUUUUCUUGAAUUGCUCAGUGAGCUUUUCAAGAUAAGCAUGGUAUGUCAAAAAAAUUUCAUAUUUUGUUUUCAAUUUCUUUGGGGUUUGGCAGAUGAUAAGCGUCGAAUCCCUAAAUACUUCGAUAUCUUAUAUUCCCAUGGUCAAGGCAGUCUUUAAUCCAUGGAUACAUACUUCAUCUUCUGUGGUAUUCUUGAGUUUUGGCAGAUGAUAAGCGUCGAAUCCCUAUAUACUUUGAUUUCUUAUAUUACCAGGGUCAAGGCAGUCUUUAAUCCAUAGAUACAUACUUCAUCUUCUGUGGUAUACUUAGUUCCUUAAAAGUUCCGCUUACUGGCAAUGGGGGUGUGCGAUUCAUCAGGUGCAAUCAGCAAUGCCCCUACUCCGUACCCAUUUUGAUUAGUCGUGCCAUCAAAGUCAAAUUUCCAUGCCCUCCUCUUCUGUGACAGCUAUUUCCUCGUCUGGGAAGCAAUCCUUAAACUCAUGUUCCUCCUUGAUAGGGUGCAAGGUGUUCUGCUAUCGCCCUUCCUUUUUUAUCCGUAAACUCAUAUUCCUCCUUGAUAGGCUGCAAGGUGUUCUGCUUUCGCCCUUCCUUUUUGGUUACAUACGUGAUGUCGAAUUCAGACAGAAGCAGUAACAAUCUUGCGGUCCUUCCGGUUACGUUAAGGCAGGUUUCUCAAAUAAAUACUUUUUUUGUAGGUCCAUGGAAGCUAUUCAAUGUGCUACUGUGUAAGACAGCAUGUAAUGCCUCAAUUUCCACCAUACCCAAACCAAAGCCAAGCAGGUUUUCUCCAAAUUGGUAUACCUGGUCUUGUAGUCAGUCAUUUUCUUACGUUGGUAGUAUAUGGCCCUUUACUUCCGUCUGUCUUCAUCGUAUUAAGCCAACAUAGACCCCAUAGUGGUUUCGGUGACUGAUAGGUAUAGUAAUAAAGGCUUCCUGGCGUUGUAGGCACUAGAAUGGAAUAGUGGCCCUUUACUUCCGUCUGUCUUCAUCAUAUUAAGCCAACAUAGACCCCAUAGUGGUUUCGGUGACUGAUAGGUAUAGUAAUAAAGGCUUUCUGGCGUUGUAGGCACUAGAAUGGAGUCCUUUAUUUUGUCAAAAGCUUUCUGGCGGACUUCAUCCCAUUUUCCUGCUAAAAUUUGUGUAUUGACUCGCAAGUGGUUAUACAAGAGAAAGUCAAAGUCUGAUGGGACUAUUGAUCGCUACAAGGCUNNNNNNNNNNNNNNNNNNNNNNNNNNNNNNNNNNNNNNNNNNNNNNNNNNNNNNNNNNNNNNNNNNNNNNNNNNNNNNNNNNNNNNNNNNNNNNNNNNNNNNNNNNNNNNNNNNNNNNNNNNNNNNNNNNNNNNNNNNNNNAUCCAGUUAUCAAGAUGGCAUCAAGGGCGAUUAGGUGUGACUUGCAUGAUAAGGGAAAGAGAAGACGUCCCUCAAAGCCCCAUUAACGCAAAAGAAGUCAAUUCCUACGUUUUUAAAUUACCAGAAGUUCUUAGCUACUCGGCUAUACUAUAGGCUCAAAAGGCUUCCUGGCGUUGUAGGCUCUAGAAUGGAGUCCUUUAUUUUGUCAAAAGCUUUCAGGCGGGCUUCAUCCCAUUUUCGUGCUAAAUUUUGAUUUAUAAAUUUGUGUUUCGGCUCGCAAGUGGUUAUACAAGAGAAAGUCAAAGUCUGAUGGGACUAUUGAUCGGUACAAGGCUCGCGUGUUAGCCAAAGUCUACAACCAGCAAUAGGGUAUAGAUUAUGAUGAGACAUUCAGUGCAGUUAUCAAGAUAGCAUCAAGGGCGCUUAGGUGUGACUUGCUUGGUAAUGGAAAGAGAAGACGUCCCUCAAAGCCCUAUUAACGCAAAAGAAGUCGAUUCCUACAUUUUUAAAUUACCAGAAGCUCUUAGCUACUCAGCUAUACUAUAGUCUCUAAAGGCAUUACUUGACUGAAAGAGCGCUUAUAUUAUGGGGGCUUCCCUUUCGAACAUCUGACUUAUAUACAGGUCAUCGACUUAAGAAGCACAAAAAAAAAGUAGCUACCUCGGGAAAGGGAUGAGAGUAGUCUUUUUCCAAUAGGCUAGCUGCCUAUUGCAGGAGUUCCUGACCUGAAAGGACACCAGCAAGCUGCUACUGAAUGUGAACAAAGUCAAGGAGAUGGCGAUUGACAUUGAAUUCCCUCUUCUGGUUUUAAUAUGAAUUGACUCUGGUUUGGUCACUAGCUCCGUACAUCCCUAUGCAACUUCUCUCGUCACUAGUCACUAUGGCCAAAGGUUAGCAAGCCUGCUCCCAGGUCAGUAGCGAGGUCAGCUCCAUCUCCCCUUUCCUUUGUCUUUGUCUACCGUUCAUCCUUGACCUUCUUUAAGAACUCGUUAACAUCGGAACAGCCACCAUGAAGGUCACUCAAAGUAACCUACUCGAGCUUCGUCCUUUGUAUUGUACCGCCUGGAAAGAGGUUCGCUGGCCUUUUUCUUUCCCCGCACCUAAAAGUUGCCUUAGUUCCCUUUUUUUUUAAAAAGACCUAAGCUUGAAGUCAAGGCUUCUAUGCUGCUCGAUCUUUCUUGAUGAAGAGAAUGGCAUACUUAGGUCUCAGGAUGAGAUUCUGAAAGAGUAACCGCAAUAUCAGAAGAAAUUCUUCCUUGAUUCCUUUGACCUGAGACUGCUACUUGUAUUUCCUUUACUACUCUUUCUCUCUCCUCAGUUACUUCUUGAGCCAACAAAGUUUUUGCUAGUCUUUCCUUGCUACUUUGAAUCAACCAGAAAAGGAGGAUUGAGCAGUGGCUUGGGAAAUAAGACAACACUUGAUGGGAAUUGAGUAGUAGUAAGGAAUGAUAAAGAGUGAAAUUCAGUCACCCUCUCCGCUUUCUUUUCUUGAGAAGAAUGCUCUGGUCUGGCAUAAAUGCCACUAGGUCAUCUAUGAUUUGCAUCUGCACGAAUGAAAGACAGAAGAGUGGAAAACUAAAAAGAAAGCUAGGGCGUCCGAUGGAUAAAGUCUACCUUUGUGAUGUCAGGCUGAAAAGGGGGGAUAGCACUAGAGAGUCGGGAACUUUCACUGCAACUGAUGAGGCUCACACCUUACAUCAAACUAACCUAUCAACAGAAAGAAUCGAGGUUGAUUUCUUUGUUAUUGGGAAUGCAGUUGAAAUAGAGAUUCGCUUGAAAAGAGAGCAGUACUACAAGAAAGCUGUAAGAUAGAAAUAAGUCGAUUCCUGCCAUUCCGGAAAUCAGAGUUUAGAAGUCUUUCAUCCGGGAGACAUAACUCCUC